rnacentral:rRNA from 1 species
CCCCGGUAAACGGCGGCCGUAACUAUAACGGUCCUAAGGUAGCGAAAUUCCUUGUCGGGUAAGUUCCGACCUGCACGAAUGGCGUAAUGAUGGCCAGGCUGUCUCCACCCGAGACUCAGUGAAAUUGAACUCGCUGUGAAGAUGCAGUGUACCCGCGGCAAGACGGAAAGACCCCGUGAACCUUUACUAUAGCUUGACACUGAACAUUGAGCCUUGAUGUGUAGGAUAGGUGGGAGGCUUUGAAGUGUGGACGCCAGUCUGCAUGGAGCCGACCUUGAAAUACCACCCUUUAAUGUUUGAUGUUCUAACGUGGACCCGUAAUCCGGGUUGCGGACAGUGUCUGGUGGGUAGUUUGACUGGGGCGGUCUCCUCCUAAAGAGUAACGGAGGAGCACGAAGGUUGGCUAAUCCUGGUCGGACAUCAGGAGGUUAGUGCAAUGGCAUAAGCCAGCUUGACUGCGAGCGUGACGGCGCGAGCAGGUGCGAAAGCAGGUCAUAGUGAUCCGGUGGUUCUGAAUGGAAGGGCCAUCGCUCAACGGAUAAAAGGUACUCCGGGGAUAACAGGCUGAUACCGCCCAAGAGUUCAUAUCGACGGCGGUGUUUGGCACCUCGAUGUCGGCUCAUCACAUCCUGGGGCUGAAGUAGGUCCCAAGGGUAUGGCUGUUCGCCAUUUAAAGUGGUACGCGAGCUGGGUUUAGAACGUCGUGAGACAGUUCGGUCCCUAUCUGCCGUG